rnacentral:rRNA from 1 species
GAUGAACGCUGGCGGCGUGCCUAAUACAUGCAAGUCGAGCGAACGGACGAGAAGCUUGCUUCUCUGAUGUUAGCGGCGGACGGGUGAGUAACACGUGGAUAACCUACCUAUAAGACUGGGAUAACUUCGGGAAACCGUAGCUAAUACCGGAUAAUAUUUUGAACCGCAUGGUUCAAAAGUGAAAGACGGUCUUGCUGUCACUUAUGGAUGGAUCCGCGCUGCAUUAGCUAGUUGGUAAGGUAACGGCUUACCAAGGCAACGAUGCAUAGCCGACCUGAGAGGGUGAUCGGCCACACUGGAACUGAGACACGGUCCAGACCCCUACGGGAGGCAGCAGUAGGGAAUCUUGCGCAAUGGGCGAAAGCCUGACGGAGCAACGCCGCGUGAGUGAUGAAGGUCUUCGGAUCGUAAAACUCUGUUAUUAGGGAAGAACAUAUGUGUAAGUAACUGUGCACAUCUUGACGGUACCUAAUCAGAAAGCCACGGCUAACUACGUG